AAAUAUUUAGUUUAUACAAAAACAUUGGUUUGUGGUACCAUAAAAACUUUCAUUAUUUU
rnacentral:tRNA from 1 species